CAUGAAGUCGGAAUUGCUAGUAAUCGCGGAUCAGCAUGCCGCGGUGAAUACGUUCCCGGGCCUUGUACACACCGCCCGUCACACCAUGGAGCCGGUAAUACCCGAAGUCAGUAGUCCAACCUCGUGAGGACGCUGCCGAAGGUAGGAUUGGCGACUGGGGUGAAGUCGUAACAAGGUAGC
rnacentral:rRNA from 1 species